CCUCCGUCCUCCAGGCCAGGAUUCCACCCCUGGUGACCCCCUCUGUCCCUGAGUCUCAUCACAUGCCAGCAGGGACUUCCUGCCGCUGACCCGCCUGCGCAGAAAAAGGGACACCUGAGUCCCCGAGAACUCACCAGCGCCGCCAGGAUCCCCCAAUGCUGGGAGUCGUGGUCACGGUGUCUGCCGAGUACCAACGCCUGCCGUCCACUCCCACCCAGCAGGUCCCCAUGCCGCAGGUCGGCUGCUUUCUGGUGGGAUUUCAGCACAGGUGUCAGCUGCACCGAGGGGCCGCCCAGCCUUCACCAAUUCACAGUGUGGCUUUGUCGUCUUCACCCGCUGUUCGUGAUCCAGUUGUGUGCUUUGUUUUCCAUCUGACACCCCCUUGGGACAGCCGUGUCCUGAGGGCAGGGAAUGUCCUGUCUCACCCUUGUCCCCGCGCUGCCCCCACACAGAACCUGGCUCCCAAUACCUGCAUCCUCAGAAAGGAACACCCCUCGUCCUGGGCCCUGAUGGAGGCGCAGGAGCAAAUCAGGUCCAUACCUCAGGAAUCUGGAGAGAACAGGUGCAGAGUGGCCGCCACAGCUGCUCAUGUUUGUACGCCCCCCCCCACCCGCACCAGCCGCGUUUCCUGUGGCUCUUAAUUGAUCCCUCGGCAAGAAUAGGAUAGUUACCCCACUUCAAAAUGAGGAAGUUGGGUGUUGAGAGGCGGUGACACAAUAAGAGGUGAAUGGAACUCUGGGCAUCCCUGACUCUGAGCCCCCAGUCUGGCCUGGAGGGUGGGAAGCUGUGAGAGAACCGCCCCAGAAGGCUUGCUGCCAUUGUCAGGGCGUCCAGAAUGGUGCUCCCAGGACCCCGAGGGCUUGUCUUCUUGUCUUGGGUUUUGGACGGGCUACAGAAACCAGGUGAGAAAUGUCUGGUCUCCCCAUGAGGUGAGACCACCCGAGCAGGACACCCCACAAGCAGGACUUACCGAGCCACCCACAGGGACUGCCUAUGGGGCCAGACCGGGCUGGAGCAGCUGACACACCCAGAGCUCAUGCAGAACAGAGGACUAGGUAUGUCUUAAUGGGGUCAAGAGGAGAAAGGGAAGAGCUUUUCUGCUUGCUCUCUGCGGAGUCCUGUUUGGCUCAUGAAAUGGACUUGCAAUAAAAAGCGAACGGUUGUGCA
rnacentral:lncRNA from 12 species